GGAUCCUAGUGGCGAACGGGUGAGUAACACGUAGGGAACCUGCCCGCGCACCGGGAAUACGCUCUGGAAACGGAGAACAAAUCCCGAUGUACAGGAAGGAGGCAUCUUCUUUCUGUGAAACAUCCUGUAAGGGAUGGGGCGCGGAUGGACCUGCGGUGCAUUAGUUGGUUGGCGAGGGUAAAGGCCCACCAAGACGAUGAUGCAUAGCCGGCCUGAGAGGGCGGACGGCCACAUUGGGACUGAGACACGGCCCAGACUCCUGCGGGAGGCAGCAGUAGGGAAUUUUCGUCAAUGGGCGCAAGCCUGAACGAGCGAUGCCGCGUGAGUGAAGAAGGCCUUCGGGUCGUAAAGCUCUGUUGCGGGGGAAAAAAGGCAUCUGCAGGAAAUGGUAGAUGACAGAUGGUGCCCCGCCAGAAAGUCACGGCUAACUACGUGCCAGCAGCCGCGGUAAUACGUAGGUGGCGAGCGUUAUCCGGAAUGAUUGGGCGUAAAGGGUGCGCAGGCGGUCCUGCAAGUCUGGAGUGAAACGUAUGAGCUCAACUCAUGCAUGGCUCUGGAAACUGGAGGACUGGAGAGCAGGAGAGGGCGGUGGAACUCCAUGUGUAGCGGUAAAAUGCGUAGAUAUAUGGAAGAACACCAGUGGCGAAGGCGGCCGCCUGGCCUGUUGCUGACGCUGAGGCACGAAAGCGUGGGGAGCAAAUAGGAUUAGAUACCCUGGUAGUCCACGCCGUAAACGAUGAAUGCUAAGUGUUGGAGGGUUUCCGCCCUUCAGUGCUGCAGCUAACGCAAUAAGCAUUCCGCCUGGGGAGUACGACCGCAAGGUUGAAACUCAAAGGAAUUGACGGGGGCCCGCACAAGCGGUGGAGCAUGUGGUUUAAUUCAAAGCAACGCGAAGAACCUUACCAGGUCUUGACAUCUUCUGACAAUCCUAGAGAUAGGACUUUCCCUUCGGGGACAGAAUGACAGGUGGUGCAUGGUUGUCGUCAGCUCGUGUCGUGAGAUGUUGGGUUAAGUCCCGCAACGAGCGCAACCCUUAUUGUUAGUUGCCAGCAUUAAGUUGGGCACUCUAGCAAGACUGCCGGUGACAAACCGGAGGAAGGUGGGGAUGACGUCAAAUCAUCAUGCCCCUUAUGACCUGGGCUACACACGUGCUACAAUGGACGGUACAACGAGUCGCAAGACCGCGAGGUUUAGCAAAUCUCUUAAAGCCGUUCUCAGUUCGGAUUGUAGGCUGCAACUCGCCUACAUGAAGUCGGAAUCGCUAGUAAUCGCGGAUCAGCAUGCCGCGGUGAAUACGUUCCCGGGCCUUGCACUCACCGCCCGUCA
rnacentral:rRNA from 1 species